UGCUGUCACUUGAGUUUUCGAUCUUAGCCAUUCUGAGGGGAGUAAGGUGGAAUCUCAGGGCAGAUUCGAUUUGCACUUCCCUGAUGACUAAGGGUGUUGAACAUGUCUUUAAGUGCUUCUCAGGCAUUCAAGAUCCUCUGUUGAGAAUCCUCUCUUUAGAUCAGUACCCCAUUUCAUAAGUGGGUUACUUGGAUUGUUGAUGUCUAACUUGAGUUCUUUAUAUAUUUUAGACAUUAGAACUCUGUCCGAUGCAGGAAUCAUGAAGAUCCUUUUCCAAUCUGUAGGCUGCUGUUUUGUCCUAUUGAAAGUGUCCUUUGCCUUACAGAAACUUUUCAGAUGCAUGUGGUUCUGUUUAUCAAUUAUUGGUCUUAGAGCCUGAGCCACUGGUGCUCUAUUCAGGAAGUUAUCUCCUAUACCAAUGAGCUCAGUCUGUUCUAUUAUAUUUAGGGUUUCCUGUUUCAUGUCGAGGUCUUCAAUCCACUUGGAUUUGAGUUUUGUGCAAGGUGAUAGAUAUGGAUCUAUUUUUCAUUUUUCUACAUGUAGACAUCCAGUCAGUCUAGCACCAUUUGUUGAAGAUGCUUUCUCUCCCCCACUGUAUGGUUUUGGUUUCUUUAUCAAAAGUGUACAUAGAUGUGUGGUUAUAUUUCAGGGAUUUGAUUCCAGUGAUCAAUCAGUCUGUUCCUAUGCCAAUAACAUGCAGUUUUCAUUACUAUUGCUAUGUGGUAUGGAUUGAGGUCAGGGAU
rnacentral:lncRNA from 1 species